rnacentral:rRNA from 1 species
GACGAACGCUGGCGGCGUGCUUAACACAUGCAAGUCGAACGGAAAGGCCCUGCUUUUGUGGGGUGCCCGAGUGGCGAACGGGUGAGUAACCUGUGAGUCACCUGCCCUUGACUUUGUGAUAACUUCAGGCAACUGGGGCUACUACCGGCUAGGAGCUCCUGCUGCUUGGUGGGGGUUGGAACGUUUCGGCGGUUGGGGAUGGACUCGGGGCUUAUCAGCUUGUUGGUGGGGUAUUGGCCUACCCAGGCUUUGACGGGUGGCCGGCAUGGGAGGGUGACCGGCCACAAGGGGCCUAAGGUAGGGCCCAGUCGGCAACGGGGGGCAGCGGGGGGGAGUAUUGCACAGUGGUGGCGAGCGUGAUGAAGCGGCGUCGCGUGCGGGAUGACGGCCAUCUGGUUGUGAACCGCUUUAACCUGAGACGAAGCGGGAGUGACGGUAAUGGGAAAAGAAGCACCGGCUAACUACGUG